GAUGAACGCUGGCGGCGUGCCUAAUACAUGCAAGUCGAGCGAACGGACGAGAAGCUUGCUUCUCUGAUGUUAGCGGCGGACGGGUGAGUAACACGUGGAUAACCUACCUAUAAGACUGGGAUAACUUCGGGAAACCGUAGCUAAUACCGGAUAAUAUUUUGAACCGCAUGGUUCAAAAGUGAAAGACGGUCUUGCUGUCACUUAUAGAUGGAUCCGCGCUGCAUUAGCUAGUUGGUAAGGUAACGGCUUACCAAGGCAACGAUGCAUAGCCGACCUGAGAGGGUGAUCGGCCACACUGGAACUGAGACACGGUCCAGACUCCUACGGGAGGCAGCGGUAGGGAAUCUUCCGCAAUGGGCGAAAGCCUGACGGAGCAACGCCGCGUGAGUGAUGAAGGUCCUCGGAUCGUAAAACUCUGUUAUUAGGGAAGAACAUAUGUGUAAGUAACUGUGCACAUCUUGACGGUACCUAAUCAGAAAGCCACGGCUAACUACGUG
rnacentral:rRNA from 1 species